rnacentral:rRNA from 1 species
GCUGAUUAACUGGACGUUACCCACAGAAGAAGCACCGGCUAACUCCGUGCCAGCAGCCGCGGUAAUACGGAGGGUGCGAGCGUUAAUCGGAAUUACUGGGCGUAAAGGGUGCGUAGGUGGUUGAUUAAGUUAUCUGUGAAAUUCCUGGGCUUAACCUGGGACGGUCAGAUAAUACUGGUUGACUCGAGUAUGGGAGAGGGUAGUGGAAUUUCCGGUGUAGCGGUGAAAUGCGUAGAGAUCGGAAGGAACACCAGUGGCGAAGGCGGCUACCUGGCCUAAUACUGACACUGAGGCACGAAAGCGUGGGGAGCAAACAGGAUUAGAUACCCUGGUAGUCCACGCUGUAAACGAUGUCAACUAGCUGUUGGUUAUAUGAAAAUAAUUAGUGGCGCAGCA